UGGGGAAUUUUGGACAAUGGGCGAAAGCCUGAUCCAGCAAUGCCGCGUGUGUGAAGAAGGCCUUCGGGUUGUAAAGCACUUUUGUCCGGAAAGAAAUCCUCUGGGUUAAUACCUCGGGGGGAUGACGGUACCGGAAGAAUAAGCACCGGCUAACUACGUGCCAGCAGCCGCGGUAAUACGUAGGGUGCAAGCGUUAAUCGGAAUUACUGGGCGUAAAGCGUGCGCAGGCGGUUUUGUAAGACGGAUGUGAAAUCCCCGGGCUUAACCUGGGAACUGCAUUCGUGACUGCAAGGCUAGAGUAUGGCAGAGGGGGGUAGAAUUCCACGUGUAGCAGUGAAAUGCGUAGAGAUGUGGAGGAAUACCGAUGGCGAAGGCAGCCCCCUGGGCCAAUACUGACGCUCAUGCACGAAAGCGUGGGGAGCAAACAGGAUUAGAUACCCUGGUAGUCCACGCCCUAAACGAUGUCAACUAGUUGUUGGGGACUCAUUUCCUUAGUAACGUAGCUAACGCGUGAAGUUGACCGCCUGGGGAGUACGGUCGCAAGAUUAAAACUCAAAGGAAUUGACGGGGUCAUAGCUGUUUCCU
rnacentral:rRNA from 1 species